UGGGUCAUAUGUGGAUUCAUGGUGGUGAAGGGGGGGAUGCCAUGGUGAUAGUGGUGGCGUGGCCAUGGGUUUCGGUGGCUGAGGUUUCUGGGUUUUGUUUUCUCUAUGGGUUUCUGGGUUUCAAUGGCCAUGAGUUUGUGGUUGGGGUUUCUGGGGUUUCAAGAAAACAACAUUAUGGAUGGGUAUACUUAGAGGAGCUUCUUUAUGUGCUUGAAGAUGACUUUGGUUUUCAACUGAUAAAAAUCAAUUUGGGUACUGAGUUUUGGAGAUAAAAACCAGUUUGGGUAUGUUCUUUGUGGUGGUGGUGGUAGUAGGUGGUUGCAGAGGUGAUUUGGGUUUUGUUUUUAUUUGGGUUUUGAGAUAUAUUAUUUUAUUGUGUAGAAAUAUCAUUUUAAUGUGUUGUAUUAUAAAUAAAAGUUGGGAUGCUAGAGUAUUAUAAAAUGGUAUGAUAUAAUUGAUAAAAUAGCUUUUUGAGAUGGUAAAAUAGGAUAGGAUACAAUUUUCGGAUGGGGAUGCUUAGAAGAGUAGUUUCAAAUUCUACUUGAAUAUUUAACGAGCCGUGAACAAUGUAAGUUUUGUCAUAGUUUGUAAUUUGCUUUGAUUCCUCCUCGAUUCUUGCUUCAAUUGCAAUUGUUGAUUCCUGAUCAACAAUAUCAAGUUAUCAUGAUAGUCUCUAACAACACUUAGUGCUCCCAAAGUUUUAUGCAGUUGUACUUGAAAAUUACACUACCUAUUUGCCAGGUAUGAACAAUGUCAGCAGUUGAUGUGAGGAAUGUCUAGUUGUUUUGUGCUCACAACGCAUAAGUGGGAGAUGUUAGAACUUAGAAAUAUUGUGCAAGACCAAGCCCAAAUAAAAGUGGGCCCAUAGUGGGCCUAAUUCAACCAAUUGCCAAAAUGUUGUGCCUUUUGCCAAAAAAGCACAUCUUUGGUUUUGUACCCUUUGGUUGUCUAUAUAAAGGAGCGAGGGCUUAUUUGUGCAGCUGUUGAAUAGAUUACUAAUGAGUGAUGUUGUAGAGCAAUGCACAAAGUAACAUUCUCUUAUAUUUCAUUAGAGCAUUUAGGCUAUGGAUACCAUGUGUUUUGUUCUUGUAACAAACACCAUCAUUUAAGUCUCAAUUCAUGUGAGAUAUUAAUUUCAUUUUUCAACUAUAUUGCAGGUGGAUGCUAAAAAUGUUUAGGUCAUAUCCUCAUAGUCAUUAUCAAGCUAAAAUGGGAAAUUAACCCUGAUUUUCAAACAUUAUAAUUAGUAGACCACGUUUUCAAACUAUAUUUUUUACUAGCAUCUCGAGGCUAAGAGGCUCGAUUUUGGACUAUAAAUCAAGUUUUUGAGGGUCGGUUUUCAUGUUCUGAUCGGGUCCGAGGUGGUAGUUUGUCCACUUGGAAAUCGAGUCUUAGAAACUCGAUUUAUAUAUCGACGCUCAAAGACUCAAUUUGUUCUUGAAAUUUCAACAAGUGUUGGAGUACAAAACACAAACACAGAUCAACCAGUACAAAACAUCCAACCAAAUCUACCCCUAACAACCACCUAAAACCCAGAUUUAAAAAAAAAAAAAAAAAAACCCACUCACAAUCAUAAUAGAUAAGCUCCAUCUCCUCACCUACGACUGCGAGUUACUCUCUUCCUCUCUCAUGAACGGUGGCUCAAGCACCAUGGACUUUUCGUCUCUCCUUCUCUCAUCUCCUUUAACAUUAUGUUUGUUCAACACCUUGCAAUUGCCAUUGUUGAUUCUGUUCCUGUUUCGGUUAUCAUUAAAAACAAAAAAUGAUCUAGCCCAUGGUCGCGUGGUAACAUCUCACUCUCUGGUCUGACUCGAGAACUCUCCAGCCUUCUCUCUAUGCAUCUUUUCCUCUUCUAAUCCAUUGAUCCAGGGUCCAAUCCUGUUGGAGUGAUCAGCCAUCCAUAAAUGCAAUGGAGUGAGCCAACUAAUGAAGCUAUUCAAGGGCUUGGAAGGUUCUCUUGUGCUAGUCAAGAGCUUGGCUUACAGGAUUUUAGUAUUGAAUGUAUUUGGCUAUUGGUGUGCAUUCAAUUCUACUUAACCAAAUUCAAUACUUCCAGCUUUGCUCAUCUAUUACAAAAUGUCAAAGAUGAGAUAACCUUUUUGCAGUGUUGAGUUUAAACUUGUACAUAAGACAAGCAAUACAAGUGCUUAAUAUUCUCAACAUCGUUAUAGGUAGAGCCUUUGGACAAUAGUCGCGCCACUUGAGAUCAACAAAGCAAUUAAUCUUGAAGCCCACAUUUUUCCUUUUUUUUGGCAGGAAUUAUGUAUUAUAAUGGUGGGAAAAAUUGGCCUUGUAAUCAAAUUCAACAUUUCAAUUGAAUUUGUACAUAGACCAUUGCUGGACAUACCUUAUUAUGUUGAACAUGACAUUUGAUUAAUCA